UACUCCUCGUGUCAUCUCCUCAAAGACACACCACAUCACUCUCAUCUCCUUCGUGUCUUCAAUUGAAUCAGCCACAAAAUAUUUCAAGUUCAAUCUGUUUCAAAGUCUUCAAUUUAUAAUUUGAGAUGAGUUAUUUUCUUGGUGGAGGAAAAAUUGAUUCAUUAAAACAAGUUGUUUAGAGGUAAACCACAAAAUCUCUUCAUUCUUCUCACCUUUGUUCUGUCCGUCGAAUUCAAGCAACAUGCACACAUUUUUUAGCCUUUGUUCCUUCAUCAAAGUUGUAGAUCUCUUCGAAUUAUUGAAUUUAGGCUCCAAAAUUUCUUCAAUCGGAGUUCGGAGCUAAGAGUUAUGGUCUCUGGAAGUUGUAGUUGUUGCUGCCACUGUUGCAGCGUUUUUCUCUCUCCUCUGCCUUAGCGGUGUUGCUGCCACUAUCGUGCUGCCGCCGCUAUUGGUGGUUGCCGUUGCAGCUGUUGUUUUGGUUGUUGUCGCUGCUGCUUUGUGUUGCUGUUAAUGACUUGAUUCCUUACUCCAUUUACUGCACUCUUGGCUAAAGGAAACCCCAAAUCAGUUUUUGCCACUCAUAUCAAGGGUAAUAUAUGAACAAUGGGCCGUGACUAUUUUCCGAAAUUAGCAGAGGAAAGCUAUGAUAAGGCUUGGAUUAUGUGAAUUUCUUCGUAGAUUAUGGGUACUGCUGAUUAGUUUUUUUUUUUUUAGGUUUACUUUGAAUUAUUCAAGUUACAUUGAAUGUCAAAUUUGAAGAUUAUUUUUGUAGUACUUUGAUUAUAUACAAUUUGUUAUUCCACGAA